rnacentral:lncRNA from 1 species
AAGUUGCAUCCCCAAAUGCGAGGCUGGCCUGACCAAAAAGAGCCAGUCGGCGCCCGGAAGAGGCGAGACUCGCGCUUGGGUUCUCAAUCCUUCUCUUUUCUCCUUUCUUUUUCCCUUUCUCCUCUCCGGUUCCUGAUUUAGCUGGGAGCUGUUUAUUUAUGGCUGCAAAUGUGUGUGUUCAAGAGAGAGAGGGAAUUGAUCUUUGCCUGGACUUAAAGAUGGAGCCGAAGAAGCUGGAGGGAAUUUGGGCUUGUGCGUCUGGCCCAGACCCUGUGCGCCGAGCCCGAGGUCUAUCCUCCCCGCACCUCUCACCUCGCGACCUUGCAGGAAUCCGCGGGCCCGGAUGCUGCCCAGCUGACCCUCCUGCCCCGGGCCUGGCUGCAGAGAAAGUCUUCGGGCAGGAGGCCAUCCUGUUCCUGUCUUUAAAAUGAGCACAAUAAAAGGGGGCAAAUCCUCGAACGCGAACCUGAUCUCAUGUCACAGAAGCAACUUGCCAUGAAAUCCGCUAAUGCGCUGCGACUCGCCCACCAGGCAUCUGGGGAAAAGACGCCCUGACUCAAGGGUGU